CGGCGAACGGGUGAGUAACACGUGGGCAACCUGCCCAAAAGAGGGGGAUAACACUUGGAAACAGGUGCUAAUACCGCAUAACCAUAGUUACCGCAUGGUAACUAUGUAAAAGGUGGCUAUGCUACCGCUUUUGGAUGGGCCCGCGGCGCAUUAGCUAGUUGGUGGGGUAAAGGCUUACCAAGGCAAUGAUGCGUAGCCGAACUGAGAGGUUGAUCGGCCACAUUGGGACUGAGACACGGCCCAAACUCCUACGGAAGGCAGCAG
rnacentral:rRNA from 1 species